rnacentral:lncRNA from 1 species
AUGGCUGAUGAAGAGUCCUAAUACUCAUGACUUUGAGUCUUAUGUGUCUGAAACUCUGUGAUCAAGAAUCAAAAUUCUCUAAUCAUGAGUUCCACACAUUUUGGAUACCGGAAUCAAGAGUCCCACUGGUUUGGACUUUUUUGAUCAGGAUUUUAUAUCGAUGGACUCUGAUGCUCGAUUGUCCAUCAGAUUUGGACUCAAUAUUUAUGAGAGGUUUAAUUAGUAAUUUGAUCACUAAUUAACUCAAUUUAAUUGAGUAAUUAUUUUUGGAUCAAGUUCAAUUGAAUUGGAUUCAGUUGGGUUUGACCCGAUUAGG